rnacentral:rRNA from 1 species
GACGAACCGUGCGAACGUUGUUCGGAAUCACUGGGCUUAAAGGGCGCGUAGGCGGGCGAUCAAGUCAGGGGUGAAAUCCUCCAGCUUAACUGGAGAACUGCCUCUGAUACUGGCCGUCUUGAGUAAGGUAGGGGCAUGCGGAACUGAUGGUGGAGCGGUGAAAUGUGUUGAUAUCAUCAGGAAUCUCCGGUGGCGAAAGCGGCGUGCUGGACCUUAACUGACGCUGAGGCGCGAAAGCCAGGGGAGCGAACGGG